rnacentral:rRNA from 1 species
AUACGUAGGGGGCGAGCGUUGUCCGGAAUGAUUGGGCGUAAAGGGCGCGUAGGCGGCCCGGUAAGUCUGGAGUGAAAGUCCUGUUUUUAAGAUGGGAAUUGCUUUGGAUACUGUCGGGCUUGAGUGCAGGAGAGGUAAGUGGAAUUCCCAGCGUAGCGGUGAAAUGCGUAGAGAUUGGGAGGAACACCAGUGGCGAAGGCGACUUACUGGACUGUAACUGACGCUGAGGCGCGAAAGUGUGGGGAGCAAACAGGAUUAGAUACCCUGGUAGUCCACACAGUAAACGAUGAAUGCUAGGUGUAGGGGGUAGCGACCCCUUCUGUGCCGCAGGCAACACAAUAAGCAUUCCGCCUGGGGAGUACGGCCGCAAGGUUGCAACUCAAAUGAAUUGACGGGG